UACGGAGGGGGCCAGCGUUGUUCGGAAUUAUUGGGCGUAAAGGGCGCGUAGGCGGCCGGAUAAGUCUGAUGUGAAAUCCCCCGGCUCAACCGGGGAACUGCAUUUGAAACUGUUCGGCUCGAGUCCGGGAGAGGGUAGUGGAAUUCCCAGUGUAGCGGUGAAAUGCGUAGAUAUUGGGAGGAACACCGGUGGCGAAGGCGGCUACCUGGACCGGUACUGACGCUGAUGCGCGAAAGCUAGGGUAGCAAACAGGAUUAGAUACCCUGGUAGUCCUAGCUGUAAACGAUGGAUGCUUGGUGUAGCGGGUAUCGACCCCUGCUGUGCCGAAGCUAACGCAUUAAGCAUCCCGCCUGGGGAGUACGGUCGCAAGGCUGAA
rnacentral:rRNA from 1 species